rnacentral:rRNA from 1 species
GGGUUGUGAGGUUAAGCGACUAAGCGUACACGGUGGAUGCCCUGGCAGUCAGAGGCGAUGAAGGACGUGCUAAUCUGCGAUAAGCGUCGGUAAGGUGAUAUGAACCAUUAUAACCGGCGAUUUCCGAAUGGGGAAACCCAGUGUGAUUCGUCACACUAUCAUUAACUGAAUCCAUAGGUUAAUGAGGCGAACCGGGGGAACUGAAACAUCUAAGUACCCCGAGGAAAAGAAAUCAACCGAGAUUCCCCCAGUAGCGGCGAGCGAACGGGGAGCAGCCCAGAGCCUGAAUCAGUGUGUGUGUUAGUGGAAGCGUCUGGAAAGGCGUGCGAUACAGGGUGACAGCCCCGUACACAAAAAUGCACAUAUUGUGAGCUCGAUGAGUAGGGCGGGACACGUGGUAUCCUGUCUGAAUAUGGGGGGACCAUCCUCCAAGGCUAAAUACUCCUGACUGACCGAUAGUGAACCAGUACCGUGAGGGAAAGGCGAAAAGAACCCCGGCGAGGGGAGUGAAAAAGAACCUGAAACCGUGUACGUACAAGCAGUGGGAGCACGCUUAGGCGUGUGACUGCGUACCUUUUGUAUAAUGGGUCAGCGACUUAUAUUCUGUAGCAAGGUUAACCGAAUAGGGGAGCCGAAGGGAAACCGAGUCUUAACUGGGCGUUAAGUUGCAGGGUAUAGACCCGAAACCCGGUGAUCUAGCCAUGGGCAGGUUGAAGGUUGGGUAACACUAACUGGAGGACCGAACCGACUAAUGUUGAAAAAUUAGCGGAUGACUUGUGGCUGGGGGUGAAAGGCCAAUCAAACCGGGAGAUAGCUGGUUCUCCCCGAAAGCUAUUUAGGUAGCGCCUCGUGAAUUCAUCUCCGGGGGUAGAGCACUGUUUCGGCAAGGGGGUCAUCCCGACUUACCAACCCGAUGCAAACUGCGAAUACCGGAGAAUGUUAUCACGGGAGACACACGGCGGGUGCUAACGUCCGUCGUGAAGAGGGAAACAACCCAGACCGCCAGCUAAGGUCCCAAAGUCAUGGUUAAGUGGGAAACGAUGUGGGAAGGCCCAGACAGCCAGGAUGUUGGCUUAGAAGCAGCCAUCAUUUAAAGAAAGCGUAAUAGCUCACUGGUCGAGUCGGCCUGCGCGGAAGAUGUAACGGGGCUAAACCAUGCACCGAAGCUGCGGCAGCGACGCUGAUGCGUUGUUGGGUAGGGGAGCGUUCUGUAAGCCUGUGAAGGUGUGCUGUGAGGUAUGCUGGAGGUAUCAGAAGUGCGAAUGCUGACAUAAGUAACGAUAAAGCGGGUGAAAAGCCCGCUCGCCGGAAGACCAAGGGUUCCUGUCCAACGUUAAUCGGGGCAGGGUGAGUCGACCCCUAAGGCGAGGCCGAAAGGCGUAGUCGAUGGGAAACAGGUUAAUAUUCCUGUACUUGGUGUUACUGCGAAGGGGGGACGGAGAAGGCUAUGUUGGCCGGGCGACGGUUGUCCCGGUUUAAGCGUGUAGGCUGGUUUUCCAGGCAAAUCCGGAAAACUAAGGCUGAGGCGUGAUGACGAGGCACUACGGUGCUGAAGCAACAAAUGCCCUGCUUCCAGGAAAAGCCUCUAAGCAUCAGGUAACAUCAAAUCGUACCCCAAACCGACACAGGUGGUCAGGUAGAGAAUACCAAGGCGCUUGAGAGAACUCGGGUGAAGGAACUAGGCAAAAUGGUGCCGUAACUUCGGGAGAAGGCACGCUGAUAUGUAGGUGAAGUCCCUCGCGGAUGGAGCUGAAAUCAGUCGAAGAUACCAGCUGGCUGCAACUGUUUAUUAAAAACACAGCACUGUGCAAACACGAAAGUGGACGUAUACGGUGUGACGCCUGCCCGGUGCCGGAAGGUUAAUUGAUGGGGUCAGCGCAAGCGAAGCUCUUGAUCGAAGCCCCGGUAAACGGCGGCCGUAACUAUAACGGUCCUAAGGUAGCGAAAUUCCUUGUCGGGUAAGUUCCGACCUGCACGAAUGGCGUAAUGAUGGCCAGGCUGUCUCCACCCGAGACUCAGUGAAAUUGAACUCGCUGUGAAGAUGCAGUGUACCCGCGGCAAGACGGAAAGACCCCGUGAACCUUUACUAUAGCUUGACACUGAACAUUGAGCCUUGAUGUGUAGGAUAGGUGGGAGGCUUUGAAGUGUGGACGCCAGUCUGCAUGGAGCCGACCUUGAAAUACCACCCUUUAAUGUUUGAUGUUCUAACGUUGACCCGUAAUCCGGGUUGCGGACAGUGUCUGGUGGGUA